UAGGGAAUAUUGCACAAUGGAGGCAACUCUGAUGCAGCGACGCCGCGUGAGUGAUGAAGGCCUUCGGGUCGUAAAGCUCUGUCGCAGGGGAAUAACACAAUGAAGGUACCCUGUAAGAAAGGAUCGGCUAACUUCGUGCCAGCAGCCGCGGUAAGACGAGGGAUCCUAGCGUUGUUCGGAAUUAUUGGGCGUAAAGCGGGUGUAGGUGGACUUGUAAGUCAGAAGUGAAAGCCUAGGGCUUAACCCUAGAAGUGCUUUUGAUACUGCGAGUCUUGAGUGCUGGAGAGGCUAUUAGAAUUCUUGGUGUAGUGGUGAAAUACGUAGAUAUCAAGAGGAAUACCGGAGGCGAAGGCGGAUAGCUGGCCAGACACUGACACUGAGACCCGAAAGCGUGGGGAUC
rnacentral:rRNA from 1 species